UAAAAUCAUAAAUAUGCCAAACUAUAAUUUUGAAUGUACUUUAGUAUGAUUUUUUAAUUUUAAUUUUUAUUUUUUUUUA
rnacentral:ribozyme from 12 species